AUAUAGUGGUUUAAAAUGACUGUUGUAAUUAUAAAUCCAUUGGUUCUCUUCUCUGACCUCUGAUCUGAUAUGACUUCCUGUCCUUGUUUGACCUCCACAGGACAUAUUUUCUGAAUUGGAUCUGGAAGGAGAUGCAGAGAGCGAGCUACGGCAGACACAGCCAAGGGGAAGAAGAGAAAGGCCCAAGAGGAGCUGGGGACGGCCCAGCUGGAGGAGGAAGACGCGGGGACAUCAAAGGAAGCUGGGGAAGAGGGGGAUAGCGACUCGGAUGAUGUUGACAACAGCAGCGACUCUGAUGACGAGAGGAGCUUCGCUCAGAUGUAGAAGGCUAAAGCGUCCGGCGGUAUUCAAGGUGAUGCCAACGGUGAUGACUUCCAGGUGGUGCCAGUGCAGAGCACCAGCAAGCGUGUUUGCGUCAUGAAUUCAGAUGGUAUGGCCCUGGGCUGUCAGAUCGCCACGUCCAAGAAGCGAGAGAGGGACCUGGUAGAUGGCUCCUUUC